CCACAUAAAAUUGGAAUCCUCUGACUCCAUUUGUGGAAAUGAAAUCAUCACAUGCAGGGAUGGUCAAAGGAAUAAAGGGCUUUGAACACAUUCCAUCAAAAAACGUGACGAUCCAGAUCAAACAGACAACAGAUGUGGCCAUGGAAUGACACAGCCACCAAUCCCCUCCGGAGCAUGUCUGGGAACGCCUUCUCAGCCGGACCUCUGCAUGUUUCUUUCCUUUUUCCUCUGCAGUUGCAAAUUCCUAAAUCCCAAAAGGGAGCGCAGAAAUUUCUCAGCUGCCCUUUGGCUCCUCCCAUGAUGCAAUCAAAGAAAAACUAAACCAACAACAAACAACCCACUUGUUUUAUGGAAAUGUUACAAGACCGAAGCUGGCUGUUGCUGAGAAACACUUUAUUCCCUUUUGUUCUGCCAUCUCACACCACUGAGCAGAGACACACGUAAAAUGUUGCUGCAGUUGCUAUGGAAAGCAAUUGUUUCCAUUACAACGCAGGGAACACAGCUACAGCCAUGAGGUACUGUGAGGGGCUGUCUGUCAUCUUCCACUUUUGGCAGACACACUUCAGGAGUUUAGGAGUUUUGUCUGCUUAAUUUUCCCUCUUGUAGGAAAACAAACACAGGAGCAGCUCCAGCUCCUCCAGUGGCACACCCUCUGGGAUGCGCUUCUCUUUGGCUCUUUAGUAAUCACUUCAGAAAAUAAGUUUUCAGUUCUUGCUCUAGCCCUGAGCCUCAACUCUUCGUGCAACUGCUAGAAACUCCUUUAGCAAAGAAAAAUUCCCCUGUGCUUGUCACAUCAGUGACCGUAAUGAACAGAGUCAGACACAGUACGAAGCCACACCUUGCUGAUGUAUUUCUUAGGUGCUCUUUCCUGAAGUACCGGAGUGGUUGUCAGGUGGACUGGCAAGUCAUAGCACCUGUUCUUCAGCUCCAUUCUGUGCUUCUACUGCAAGCUCCUCCCCACUAUGCCAUCAUCAUGGCCGUAAGCCAGAGAUGACACUCCUCAGAACCAGUGUUCUAUUUUCCUGUAACGUACUGUGUACAUUAAUUUAACCUCCCAUCUACUUACUGCAGGGCAGGAUGCCACCCUCCCAGCCACCACCUGACCACAAGCAGACGUUGCACUCUGUACUAUUUCUAUUGCCUCCUAGAACAGAAGCUUGGUUGAUUCUACAAUAUAAACCCAAAAACAGCACAUGAAAGAGGACUUCUACACCUACUCUCACCCUUGCUGCCUCACUUGGCCCUGUUUCUUUGAAUAAGGCAGUCUGUUUCCUCUGCAUAUGGCUAUUUCCUACUCUGCUGCUUCCCAUAUGGUCUGGGAGCCUUCACAGAUCUGCACUUCCCACUAAAGACAAUUGCAGAGAAGAGCCGAUCAGAGCACAGCUUAAAAUUGGAACUGUGGCAAACCUUGAUUCAACCUUUAUCUUCAUUGGUGAUAUCACACAAGCAUCUCAUGCACACAUUACUGGAAGAUAACAGGCACAACUUUACAACAGCAAGGAAUCUGACAGUGCCAGUACAACACUAAUGUGAGCAUCUGCUUCAUCAGCUACAUGGUUUUACAGAAGUUACUCAGUUUGUGGAACCAGGGCUCGUUACAGACUGGUUUCCCAUGGAUUUCAGUAAUGUUCAGUGGCAGUGAACAAGACCAAGAAAGUACUUCAGUGCUACAGCAUUCGUUGUGCCUGUCUGCCAGUGGAACUCCUGACAAGUGUGUUACCUUCAAACGCACGGAGCCUGUCAUUAUUUCCCUCCCUUAAAAAUGUAUAUGUGUGCAUAAAGACAAAAGCAUGGAACAGGUUUAGUUUGAACUCACACAGAUGCAUUUUAACCAAUUACAACAAUUUUUUCUUUCCUUUCUAGACAAAAAAGCCAAAAAGGAAAAGGUAUUUUCAGCACAACCACUGAAGUCACACUGCUACCAAAUACAGUCUUUCACAGAAAGUAAGCUAAGUGGAAGGCAGAAAAAAAAUGCAGUGGGAAAUACAUAACAAUGAAUUCAGGGCCAAACUCCUCACAGAAUUCACAAGAUUUCACUCUUAUUCUUGUUUUUCUCCCUCAAAAAAUCUUAAAUAAGAUAUUUUGAUAUCAAAUAGUAAGAUUUUUUGAGAUAGGUAGCAAGCACAGUUUUAAAAACACUGAAGUCAUUUUUCAUCUUCAGACGUUGUCCCUCAUAAUUAAGUUAUUGAAAUGUGCUGUGUUCCUGCUUACAUUUAGCAAACGAUUAACACCUGUAAAUACAGGUCUCAGUCCACAGAUAGCUGCCCAUGGCAAAAAUCAGCAAUUAUUGCACAUGAAGUGUGUAUUUCUUUUAUAUUCCAUAAUGCUCUUUUGUUUUCUUUCUGGCAUUGCCUUUGGCAUCAAACUCCUAGUUAAAUGCCUGCCUUCCCCUGAUUUCAGUAAUACCACCAGCACUCAAGUUUGGCAGCUCAGAACUUUUCUUGGGCUGGCAGUUCAAAGUGCCUGACGUGUCAUCACUGCAUCAAAUUGACAUUAAAAGAGCUUAAAGUAAAGUUUCAUUUGAAUAAGACACUGAGGAUUGUCUUCUCCAGGGUACAUACACCAUCCAAAGAGCUAUGAACAAGGUCAUCAUAUGUUGAAGACCUGCAGUAGACAGACAGCUCUCCUGUCUUGCCAGAAGAGUAAUGUGCCACCAUGUCAGCAAUAAAACAGACAACACACAAUGGAACUCACUAGCAACAGGCUCACCUGAGGCUCAACAUUUCUUCCUGUCUUCAGUGUUAAAGGUGACUGUAGAUCUAAGAGACUAUCAUGUAUUCUUGCUUCUGGAUAAGGUUUUGUAAUUUAUUUCCCACCAGCAGUUUGGUACCAACAGAAUUUCUGAAGCACACACCUUCCUAAUGAUCCAACUAUCUCCCAGCCAGGCAUGUGCCCUGUUCUGCUGAAAUACGCUUUAGUGAACAAAUGCUAACAAGACUGAACCACUGGUUUGGAGAAAGCUGCAGAAAAUAUGCAUUAAUCGGGCAUGCUCUCACUUACUGUGUAGAAAGGUUUUGCAUCGAGCAAAACAGGUAAAAUUAAAAUCUAAAGCUUUCAUGUAGAUUAAUGUCCUUGGCCCACCUUAACAGCAACAGCAAUGAUAGCAUCUUUACCAUGUAGAAGACCACGUGAAGUCAAAAUCUGCUUUGAAUUACACUACAUAUAAUCAGCAUGUACAUCUAAAGAGAAUAAAAUAUUGACCAAAUUUACACAAGAAGAUAUAAUCUGACCCUAAGCUACUUCUACGCUACAGUCUACAACGCAAGAAAGUCUACCUUUAUUUUGGCAGAGGCCACUCCUAUUUUUCCUUGCUUAUUUUUCUAAUACAUCAGAUAGGACUCACUUUUAAUCCUAAGACUCCUGCAUUUCAACACUGGAAACUCAUACUUCUGCAUGCUAAACUGACUGCAAGGCGGCACUACACUGGUCUAAAAGAUGAAUGAAACAGUACCACAUCGCUAUUUUCACUUCAUUAUCAAGUGAAAGCUUCCUCAGGUAUGCCUGCAUGCUGUAUAACCACAUGCUCCUCCAUAGAGAAGAUAGCAAUUAAUACAUAAGCACUGCUAUAGAGGAGAAGAAAAGGAAUUAGGUGGUGCUUUCAAGUGCAAAGACCCUCGUGGAAGCUUGAAAGUGGAAAGGUGGUUCAGAAUCAAGAGGACAGGGAGGACCUCUUAACAUCAAAUUGGAUGUUCUGCUGCAUAUGGACAGGCAAAUGCUAUUGAGCAGUGCACACGACAUGUUCAAAUCCAGCAUCUUGCAAACAUUUUCUCAACUGAAGUUUUCAUCUGUAGUUGGUCAGUGAGAAUAAAAACAAAACUGAUGUAGCUGACAGCAAUUCUUUAAUUCCUAAAAAGCACAAACUAUUGUUCAUGUAGUAACAAUAGUAACUAUUGUUACAACAGUAACUAUUGUUACUACUCUUAACCAUCCCUUCAAAUUCAGAUGCUUUUUAUCAUUUUCUUUUGUUUCACAUUUGCACUCUUAUUUUUUGUUUCAGAAGAAAAACAUCUGAUAGCACAAAUGAAACAAUUCAUUAAACAAAACUGAGAAUUAACAAACACUGCACUACAUGAUGCAAAAUACAGUCAGUGCCCAGGGUGGCAAGUGAUAGUAGGAAAGCCGUGUGGCAGAAAUAGUGGCAAGCACAGUAAGUGACAAUGAUAAAGAAUCUUCUCAGUAAAGAAGACCAUUAUCAACACUGAAAACACAACAGCAAACCUCUGCAGAGCGUGGUCUGCGCAGAACCAGACUCUUUGGAUAAAAGAACUCAGAUGAGGAAUGCUGCCAUGAAACAGAAAAAAGGAAAAAGAAGAGUGAAAAGGAAAGCAGUUCCCCAGCCCAUCAGUUAAGCUCUUUUUCAGUCAAGUCACCACUUACAAAUAACUACUCGCUAGAUAAUAAUCUGUGUGCUAUAGUAUCCACUACUUGCUGAUCUCUGUAGAAUCACAAACAAGCAGAUAGUUGAACCUAAGCAAUGCAUAUUCUAGUUAUGUACCUAUAGCUGCUUUACCCUCUACUUGUUCUGACUUAAUAAACCUCUACAGAAAAUCCAGUGGGAGGAAGACCUUAAUCAACUCAGUCUGAGAUCCUGACCAGCUAAAAUGCUGAUUAGUUUAUAUCACAAUUCAGUUACUGAGAGAAAACAGAACUGGCUGAAAGCUUAUAAAAUGAUUUCCACAAUAAAAGGGCAUUUUGUUCUGUUUUGCUCCACAGGGAAAAAGGAAACCCAGAGCAAGGAUGCUGUGUCAGUGGCAGAACCAUCAGAAAAAUCAAGGCCUGCCCCUGAAAUACGUAGUAUCUUGUAUUUGAGAACUGACAAAUCACAUUCUGAUUCUCACAUCAGGUCAAUGUAUGCAGAAUGUAUGCAGUCAAGAAACUGAAGGUGAAUCAAACCACAGGUCAUAACUGAGAAGUGACGUGCUAAAAUAGCACGAUUUCCCAGUUUCAUUUGUUUCUGAACCUACCUGUUUGCCAUUGCCCUCAUCUGAGUAAGCAGAAACAUUUGGCAAAGUCUUCUAAAUGAACGCAAGUGGUCAAGGGAAGUCAAAUUGAUUUUAAAUCAAUUGGCACCAAAAUAGGAACAGACUCCCUGCAAUGUAAAGUUGAAGCUAAAAAUUCUCAACCUCUCCACCUAGCUUCAGCACUGUGAAUUUCCAACUUUACAGACAUAUUAAACAUCUGCAUGGAAGAUCUCCAGGAGUAAGGUGACCUUGGAUAGCUGUGCAAUGACAUCUUUUCUGUUCCCCCUUUACUAAGUUUUUUUUCCCCCUCUUCACUUGUCUUAAAUUUCCUAGAAAAACUCACUUAGGAAAAGUCUUGCAGGUGGAUGAAUUCAAUUAAAAUUACCUGAGAGAGAAGAGGACUCACAUGCUUGAAUGUCUGAUGGGAAAAAGGAGAAAAUAUUUGAAGUCUUUGGCCAUUUUGAAGGGAAAUGGAAAUAAGCCAAUUGAAUUAUAAGGUCAGCUCCGAGAAGGUUUAUAAGGGCAGCAGUGUAGUCAGGAGUGCUUUGACAAGGCUCUUGGGUCUGUGCAAAAGAGAGCUACUGUACCCCAACCAUUCACUGCUAAGCACAAGUAUUCUGACACUUAUGCUGGGCCAAAGCACUGUCUUACAUUCAGCAUCUUAAAUAAGGAAGAAAAUUCAAACCAGCGUAAAAAGUACUAUGGCAAUUACUUAACAUUAAUAAGGAAACAAUCCAAUUCUUUUUGGAGUUCUCUGUAUGGCUUCUAAUUACUAAGCAUUGGCAUGAACUAUCUGUCUGCUCCUCAGGAAGCACAAUAACCCUACAUCUACUCUGAAAGUAAUUCUGUCUCUUAAAUGAUAAAGCUAAAGCUGAUUUACACUGUGAUAAGAUGGUCACUGAGAAAAGCAGCUGUCAACCAUCAUACUGGAAGUCAGAACAGGAUAACGUGCAAAUAGUGGAUUGUAAUAAUGAUGUUCGGUCCUGCUGGAUCAUAUGGUCACACACAGCCAGUUCUGCUUCUGUAUUAUGAGUACAGCCCAUGCUAACCUGAACUUUGCUCAAGAGAAAUACAUUAUUACGUUACCUACAUUCAUAGUGAACUCAUAGAAAAGGACACCUGAAUCAAUUUUAAAGGACUAGGCUUCCUGUGAAUCACCCACAGAUGGAGCACAACCCACAGGAUAAUCUGUGUAUCUCCAUGCCGGUACCUCUCAUUCUCCUUGGCUGAUAGACCUUCUAGCCAUUUUAUUUCUAUGAAGUCUCUAAUAUCCUAGUCUCUAAUAUUCAGAAAAAUGAACAAAGUUCAAAGGCACAACUGAGAUAUCAAAGAAAGUAAACUGUCCAGAAGGCAAAUUAGUGAAUAUGGGCUUAAAAUUGCCUGAUGCGUGAAGAAAGUGAUGAGUGCAGUUUUAUUCCAAUGAAGGAUUUGAUCCAGAAAGUUCUUGGUAUGCUGAUGUGAUCCCAAGAAUGCCAGCCCUUCCUGACAUUCAAAUUCGGAUCUCUUUAGUUUGUCGUUUAUUUGAAUGGCAAAGGAAUGAGUACAUCUCAGCUAAAUGCUGUAAAUAACUGCAAAGAACAAGGGACAACUAUUGAGAAGUUAUACAGGUGUGCAAAAAUAUUAAGAUGUGUCACAACUCGUGCCCUGUUCACAUUUUACUCCACUGCACAAUAACUCACAUAUGAUGAUCUAUCUUAGAGACAAUGGCAUAUCUGUAUAUCAGCAAAUUAUACCAUCCUUAGGGUAACAAUGAAACUGAAGAUGAUGAGUCUAAAAACCACACCAAUAUCUCUGAAGUGCUGCCAAAGUUAUUCUGCCAGUGCGGUGACAACUAUGCCACAAAAACCAUAAAAAACACACUUUGUAUACAACGUUCAGCUAUCAAGUGUGUAAAAUAUCCAAUGUGUCAUUGCCACUAAUUCAGCUUACCCGUAGCUUAUCUUCAGUCUUAGUGGAUUGCUUACAGUCGGGAUGCCAGACAGUGGAACCUGGGGGACAUAGAAAAUGAAAAAGUCUGUAUUUAGAGGAAAGCAGAUGAUUUCUGGUUAUGAGAUCUUAGCCAUGAAAAGAGAAUCCCUUCGCUGAAUCAGACUGUGAAUCUAUGUGAUCUAUGUGAGCCCUUCACGUCCAAUCCUAGCUCAUGAGAAAUACAAGUGAAACAAAAAAAAUCCAAAUCCUUGGUCCAUCUACAGCAGCCUCUUGCUGGCACUGUCAAAGCGCUUAGUGCAGCUUCUUAAUUAUAACUCAAACAGUUGUAAACAGCAAGGAAGACAGACAGCACCAGCUGGAGAAACUGAAAGAUGGAGGGUCCUUCUGGUAAGGAUGGAGGCCAAGGGCCAUGGCAACCUGACCUGGAUUCCCCUUCUGUACUGACCAAAGUCAGCGUACUGUACAUGGCACUGGCAUACACAUGGCUUCUGUGCCCUGCUCUGUAAGGUCAGUGGCAUGUGCUGCACUGGCAUUUCCACAUGGCAUGUUCCAGUCUCACAUCCUCCCACAAAGAGGCAACGUUUCUACUGCCCGCGUUCCAAAACAUGGGAUUUUUCCUCACAUAGUAGAAAUGUAAAUAUCUGGCUGUGUCCAUGGGCUGGGAAGGGGCACUGCCAGCCCUCCCCCAGUGCUUUGGAACAGAGAGCAAACUAUGGUUACUACUGGGAAGCUGCUGGCAGGUUUUUAGCCAAUCUGAAAUAGAGCAGAAGCUAAUGCUGAUUUUUAACACUGACUGCAGCUGUAGCCCAAUUCAGGCUUCAAUCCAGCAGCCACAAAGCCUUCUGCGACCCUUGUCUGUCUGCAGGAGGGAAUGUCACCUUUUCACUCCAUCCACAAAGAAAUCAAACAAAGGGCAGUCCAGGUCUCCUGCUGGUGAAUAUUAGCUCAAGCACAGCCAGAGGACACCCCACCCUCUGAACCAGUGAGAGGGAUGGAUCAGGGGCUCUGGACAAUUCACUCUAACAGCCCUUACACAGCCCGGUGUAGAAGCAAAGAACAGCAGGAAUGCUCAUUUCCCAGCAGCACACAAGAAAAUCAUCAUCAUCAGAAGGCUGGAGAGAGCGCUGUGAUUUUGCAUCAGAGUCUGAGAAGUUUGGCUUCAAGUUUGAGCCAAGGGAGAAGAAACUGCGCAUUUGGCAGCAGGGAAUGAUCGGACAACGGGAGGAAGCAUACCGAGAGCCUCCUCUGCCAACAAACAGCAGCUUCCGAGCCAGGACUCCACAGCGCCAACAAGACCAGGAGAGAAGCACGGGCUGUGCAUUUGCUAGGGGGUUAAACACAUCCAAGCAGUCAGGAGGAAGCCAGUUCUAUUAUAAGGCUGACAAAGUGGCAGUCAGAAGGUGUAGGUAUAAUUCUUAAAUUCAGUUGUGUGACCCUGAGAAAAAUAUGUUCUCUGUUCUUCUGUACCCCAGUUUCUUUUCUAUUAAACCAUUCCUAUUGUCAAAAACAAACAAACAAACAAAGAACAAAAAAGCUGUCACUAUUUUCAGGCAGCAUUUAGCACAAAUUAGCUCAAUUUUAGGGACCUCUUUGGACAAAGGGAACAAGAAAUGCAAGAGAGUCCUUGUGUCAUAACUUACUUGACUUCGCUAAGCAUUGUGAACUUUCUUUCACAAAAUUGUAAGAAGUUCUAGAAAUGUGAAAUUCUAAAAGCCAAAUCUGAUAGAGUGGGCUUAAGAAAUACGUAACUAUUUUUUUUUUUUUUACUAUCCUGAGCUCUGAGCCAACUACAGCUUGUAGACCUUAACCACCCAAAAGAGUCCAUCUAUUUAAAAAUGUUAGGAACUGUGCAAAUUCCCAUGCUGAACAGCCCUUCUUCUUCGUGCUGGAAACAAUUCAGCACACUGUAGCUAAUCCCAUUCUUAACAUAUGUUUGUUUGCUCACUUGGCAAACAUCAACCAACAUGCUCAUUUAUUCAAUUUACCUUGCACGUAUCACCGAUUGAACAUACAGUUCUCUAAAAAGCAGUGACUCAAUUCCACAUUGAAUAAAGCUGCUUUCCUCUUGCAGGUUUGGUUUUGCACAUUUCUAUUACAAGCAGUUACCACAAACCUACCACGCUGUUCUAUUACACAAAGUGACACCAACACUGCAUUUUCAUGAUCAGUAGAGAAUGCAAUUAGAAAUGAGAAGGAAGCUUCAUAUUUACAUAUAUUUAAUCAAUAGUGCACUUUUUGUUCUAGCUUCAGUGUUGUGGUGCUGUAUUUUUAUUACAGAGAAAUGCUUGGAAGGCUGUUAUUCUGCACCCCAGGGAAAACAAUUUGGACAGAGUCAGCAUAUCCAUUUCAGCUGAGAGCUUUGCUCAGGAAAGACUUUCAGGUCACCUACACUUAAAAGCACACUGAACCCAGCAAGGAAAGGUUUGGAAGGGCAGUCUCAGCAAUAACACCUGGUCAGAAAACAGUUUUAUACAAUAAAGCAAUGCAACUUGUACUGCUCCUCCGAGACAGAGUGAGCAUCAAGAGCAUGAACUCACAGCCACAAGAGAGGACGCAGCCAAGCAGAGAAGGAUGGCAGGUCAAGGAGCCGGGUAUCUCUCCUCACAUAACACCUAAGUUAUGCUGGAACACAAUCUAGCCUGGUUUAAGUAGAAGCAACAUGUUCGGUCUUACUGUGAUCUGCGGAAAUUUAUACCAGGGCAUGACCAGUCAUUGUGAAUAGUUUACACCAGUUCAUGCCUUGCUCUUAUAAUUUCUGAAUUAAUCUGCUCACCACUUUAACAUUCUGUGAUGUGAGGAAACUAAGAUUAAAACUUGUCAGGUGCUGCAGCUGCUGCUUUCAAAUUUAUCUUUCAAAUUUGCCAUGAGAAAGCAGUAUUUCCUACCCAACCCUCUUUCAUCCUCUCCUUGCUUUUGCAAGUAAGCACUGCUAUGCAACCAAAUACCUAAUUCUGUGCACAGCUGGAGUCAGAUGACUCUUUACAAGGUCAGUGAGAGAUGAGAAAGAUGGACUGCAAGGGAGGACAAGCUAUAAAAUAACACAAGUCAGCUUCAAAGGAAUUUCUCAACAAUGUUAUCUUAUUUUGGAAUUCCUCCAGAAGGAAUCUCUCCAGUUUUUCAAGAGACACUUUCAUCAUUUCUUUCCUACUUUUUUUUUUUUUUUUUUUACAGUUCUUUCAGGUAAAUCAAGCAAGUUUUCUAACGCAAAUACAAUAUACAAAUUCCUGAUAUGUACUUGUCCUUCCACUCUGAUUUCUGGCCUGCAUAGAUGUACUUCUGCCAACAUUUCUUAAUACCACAGCAAGACAGAAAAAAUAAUCUUGGCUUAACAGUUUGUGUGCUACCUUCUGGGAGAGCAGGUAGCAAGGCCACCAUCAUGGACACUUACUAACGUGAAAGAGUCUCAAGUGAAAAAGUAUGAGAGCACUGUAAUGAAGAAAAGGCUACAGUCCUCCAUACACACAUUGCACAGGAUAGCUAUAAACCCAUGAGGUCUAGCACAGACAAAUUACAAAGUCUGAUUUUGUAGUUUUGUUGUAGAGACAUCCUUACCUUGCAGAUACAU